GCCAGCAACUAUAUCACCCUGCAACUCACAACUGGUAACCCACUUAAGCUAAACAGGUGUGAGCCUGGUCAGUACCUGGAUGAGAAAUCUCCUGGGAACAUUUAGCUUGCUGCUGGAA
rnacentral:rRNA from 1 species